rnacentral:rRNA from 1 species
AUACGUAGGUGACAAGCGUUAUCCGGAUUUACUGGGCGUAAAGGGCGUGUAGGCGGUCUUGCAAGUCAGAAGUGAAAUUCCUGAGCUCAACUCGGGCGCUGCUUCUGAAACUGCAGGACUUGAGUGCUGGAGGGGAUAGCGGAAUUCCUAGUGGAGCGGUAAAAUGCGCAGAUAUUAGGAAGAACACCGGUGGCGAAGGCGGUUAUCUGAACGGAAACUAACGCUGAGGCGGAAAAGGGUGGGGAGCAAACAGGAUAAAAUACCCUGGUGGUCCACGCGGUAAACGAUGAAUCCUAGGGGUAGGGGGAAUCGACUCCCUCUGUGCCGCAGUUAACACAAUAAGUAUUCCGCCUGGGGAGUACGGCCGCAAGGUGGAAACUCAAGGAAUUGACGGGG